rnacentral:rRNA from 1 species
UCCUACGGGAGGCAGCAGUGGGGAAUCUUGCGCAAUGGGCGAAAGCCUGACGCAGCCAUGCCGCGUGAAUGAUGAAGGUCUUAGGAUUGUAAAAUUCUUUCACCGGGGACGAUAAUGACGGUACCCGGAGAAGAAGCCCCGGCUAACUUCGUGCCAGCAGCCGCGGUAAUACGAAGGGGGCUAGCGUUGCUCGGAAUUACUGGGCGUAAAGGGAGCGUAGGCGGACAUUUAAGUCAGGGGUGAAAUCCCGGGGCUCAACCUCGGAAUUGCCUUUGAUACUGGGUGUCUUGAGUAUGAGAGAGGUGUGUGGAACUCCGAGUGUAGAGGUGAAAUUCGUAGAUAUUCGGAAGAACACCAGUGGCGAAGGCGACACACUGGCUCAUUACUGACGCUGAGGCUCGAAAGCGUGGGGAGCAAACAGGAUUAGAUACCCCUGUAGUC